rnacentral:rRNA from 1 species
AUUGAACGCUGGCGGCAGGCCUAACACAUGCAAGUCGAGCGGAUGAAGGGAGCUUGCUCCUGGAUUCAGCGGCGGACGGGUGAGUAAUGCCUAGGAAUCUGCCUGGUCGUGGGGGAUAACGUCCGGACACGGGCGCUAAUACCGCAUCCGUCCUGAGGUAGAAAGUGGGGGAUCUUCGGACCUCACGCUAUCAGCUGAGCCUAGGUCGGAUUAGCUAGUUGGUGGGGUAAAGGCCUACCAAGGCGACGAUCCGUAACUGGUCUGAGAGGAUGAUCAGUCACACUGGAACUGAGACACGGUCCAGACUCCUACGGGAGGCAGCAGUGGGGAAUAUUGGACAAUGGGCGAAAGCCUGAUCCAGCCAUGCCGCGUGUGUGAAGAAGGUCUUCGGAUUGUAAAGCACUUUAAGUUGGGAGGAAGGGCAGUAAGUUAAUACCUGGCUGUUUUGACGUUACCAACAGAAUAAGCACCGGCUAACUUCGUG